AGUGAACGCUGGCGGUAGGCCUAACACAUGCAAGUCGAACGGCAGCACAGUAAGAGCUUGCUCUUACGGGUGGCGAGUGGCGGACGGGUGAGGAAUACAUCGGAAUCUACUUUUUCGUGGGGGAUAACGUAGGGAAACUUACGCUAAUACCGCAUACGACCUACGGGUGAAAGCAGGGGAUCUUCGGACCUUGCGCGAUUGAAUGAGCCGAUGUCGGAUUAGCUAGUUGGCGGGGGAAAGGCCCACCAAGGCGACGAUCCGUAGCUGGUCUGAGAGGAUGAUCAGCCACACUGGAACUGAGACACGGUCCAGACUCCUACAGGAGGCAGCAGUGGGGAAUUUUGGACGAUGGGCGCAAGCCUGAACCAGCCAUACCGCGUGGGUGAAGAAGGCCUUCGGGUUGUAAAGCCCUUUUGUUGGGAAAGAAAAGCAGCAGGUUAAUACCCCGCUGUUCUGACGGUACCCAAAGAAUAAGCACCGGCUAACUUCGUG
rnacentral:rRNA from 1 species